AAAAAUAGAAGACAAUGAAAUGGCAAUGCGUAUCCUUAAGGACGUGGAGACAGCCUCCAGGAACGCAAUCAGCACUCCCACUUCUUGGCAUUGUAGGAACGUAGGGUUUGUUAAAAUAACCACUUUGCACAACACUAAACAAUAAGCAUGAGAAAUAGUUGGGUAAGGAUGACUUCAUCCUCUCCAGAAACCACAGUGAGGAAGUAGAAGGGAACCAGAGGAUGACACCGAGCGGGGACUGAAAGGCGAGGCGAAGUCACUCAGCUGCAGGAAUCUCAGAAUUGUUUGAGUUGGAAGGGAGACCACUAAAGGCCAUCUGGUCCAACCCCCUGCAAUGAACGGGGACACCACAGCUCCAUCAGUGCUCACAGCCCCUCCAGCCUGACCUCGGGUGUCUGCAGGGAUGGAGCACCGCCACCUCUGGGCAACCUGAGAAAUGCAGAAAGGACGUGGACUGCCCAGAGCAGGGCACCACGGACAGGAGCUCAUUAGCAUGUUGAAAUUAUUUCCGCUCCAGCAAGUUUGGGUGAUGAAGCUGAGGCACAGGAGGCACACAGAAGGUCACCCAGCAGCAGCUCAGAGCAGAGCUCUGACCGGAGCAGCCCCAGACGGACCUGUGUGAGGUUCAGCCCAUGGGAUCAGCUGCACUGAGCCACACACACUACUACACUGCUGCCUCUGCAUCUUCUGGGCCUCCCAUAACAACUUCAAUACAGGGCUUUAAACCAGAUGCAACCCCUUUGCAUGCAACGUGGAUGACAGCAGGAUCAACGCCAACGUCCCUACCCACAUAUGAGCCUAAAGGUCUCAUUCAGCAUAAUCAUCCCCCGAGAGCUGACAAAAUGGGCAACAUGGCAGUUCUGACCCCCUCCCUGCCCUCUGAUGCCACCUGCAGCAGUGAUGGUCCCACUGACCACUCAGCCAAGCCUCUUGUCAUUGUACUCAGUCAGUGGAAAAGGUGCUGGAGCUUGGGCUUAGAGACCAAGAAAACCAUGGUGAUUUCAUCUUAAGCCACUGCAGAUGGCAGGUGUGCAGAGCUGGCUCACUCAACACAUAGAAUGAAUCAUAGAAUGGCCUGGGUUGAAAAGGACCACAAUGAUCAUCUAGUUUCAACCCCCUCCUAACAUGCAGGGUCUCCAACCAGCAGACCAGGCUGCCCAGAGCCACAUCCAGCCUGGCCUUGAAUGCCUCCAGGGAUGGGGCAUCCACAGCCUCCUUGGGUUGUGUCACACCAGACACUUCCCCGCUCCGUUUGCAGAAACACAGAAGGAUGCUGUGGAGAUCUCUGGGCACCACUGGGAAAGGGUCAGGAGAGCACGUAGGGAACACAGAAGGGGAACAAAGCAGAAGGAUUCCUAAUGAAUGACAUUCACAUUCCUGUUUUUGUGCAUUCUUAGUAGCAAAUUAAAAAGGAGAGACAA